rnacentral:rRNA from 1 species
CCUACGGGAGGCAGCAGUGGGGAAUAUUGGACAAUGGGGGCAACCCUGAUCCAGCCAUGCCGCGUGUGUGAAGAAGGCCCUCGGGUUGUAAAGCACUUUCAGUGAGGAAGAACGCCUGGUGGUUAAUACCCAUCAGGAAAGACAUCACUCACAGAAGAAGCACCGGCUAACUCCGUGCCAGCAGCCGCGGUAAUACGGAGGGUGCGAGCGUUAAUCGGAAUUACUGGGCGUAAAGCGCGCGUAGGUGGCUUGAUAAGCCGGUUGUGAAAGCCCCGGGCUCAACCUGGGAACGGCAUCCGGAACUGUCAAGCUAGAGUGCAGGAGAGGAAGGUAGAAUUCCCGGUGUAGCGGUGAAAUGCGUAGAGAUCGGGAGGAAUACCAGUGGCGAAGGCGGCCUUCUGGACUGACACUGACACUGAGGUGCGAAAGCGUGGGUAGCAAACAGGAUUAGAUAGCACGGUAGUC